GGGGAAUAUUGGGCAAUGGGCGCAAGCCUGACCCAGCAACGCCGCGUGAAGGAAGAAGGCUUUCGGGUUGUAAACUUCUUUUCUCAGGGACGAAGAAAGUGACGGUACCUGAGGAAUAAGCCACGGCUAACUAC
rnacentral:rRNA from 1 species